AUUGAACGCUGGCGGCAUGCCUUACACAUGCAAGUCGAACGGCAGCACGGGUGCUUGCACCUGGUGGCGAGUGGCGAACGGGUGAGUAAUACAUCGGAACGUACCUUAUCGUGGGGGAUAACGCAGCGAAAGCUGUGCUAAUACCGCAUACGCCCUGAGGGGGAAAGCGGGGGAUCGCAAGACCACGCGCGAUUAGAGCGGCCGAUGCCUGAUUAGCGUGUUGGUGGGGUAAAAGCCCACCAAGGCGACGAUCAGUAGCUGGUCUGAGAGGACGAUCAGCCACACUGGGACUGAGACACGGCCCAGACUCCUACGGGAGGCAGCAGUGGGGAAUUUUGGACAAUGGGGGCAACCCUGAUCCAGCAAUGCCGCGUGAGUGAAGAAGGCCUUCGGGUUGUAAAGCUCUUUUGUCAGGGAAGAAACACCGGCUCUAACACAGUCCGGGAAUGACGGUACCUGAAGAAUAAGCACCGGCUAACUACGUGCCAGCCGCCGCAGUAA
rnacentral:rRNA from 1 species